rnacentral:rRNA from 1 species
GACGAGCGACACUAACGUUAUUCGGAAUUACUGGGCUUAAAGGGUGCGUAGGCGGUGCGACAAGUCGGGUGUGAAAGCCCCCAGCUCAACUGGGGAACUGCGCCCGAAACUGUCGUGCUCGAGGAAGACAGAGGUACGCGGAACUUAUGGUGGAGCGGUGAAAUGCGUUGAUAUCCUAAGGAACACCGGUGGCGAAAGCGGCGUACUGGGUUUUAUCUGACGCUGCGGAUCGAAAGCUAGGGGAGCAAACGGG